ensembl:snRNA U6 U6 spliceosomal RNA
GUGCUUGCUUCAGCAGCACAUAUGCUAAAAUUGGAAUGAUACAGAGAAGAUUAGCAUGGCUCCUGCACAAGGAUGACACACAAAUUUUUGAAGCAUUCCAUAUUUUU